rnacentral:rRNA from 1 species
GUAUAGUGCAAAGACGCCGGUUGGGGAAUGACUCGGCUUGGUAAGCGAUGAAGGACGUGGCAAGCUGCGAUAAGCCCGGGGGAAGUGCAUGCGACCGUUGAUCCCGGGAUCUCCGAAUGAGGUCUCUCUUAACACUCCCUUGCUUUUCGCUUGGGAGGGCGAACCGUCCGAAGUGAAGCAUCUGAGUAGGACGAGGAAAAGAAAUCAACACGAGAUUCCGCUAGUAGCGGCGAGCGAAAACGGAAUAGCCCAAACUGAAUCUGCUACGGUAACGUGGUAGAGAUGUGGUGUGCUAUGGCGCAUAGGAUGCUGUUCUCCGAGCUGAAGUGCUCUGGAACGUGCUGGCGCAGAGGGUGAUACCCCCGUAAGCGUAGGAGUAUAGGAUUCUGCCAUAGCAAGAGUAUCUGGCCUUGGGAGUGGCCAGUGACUAUGGGUGAAAGUAGCAUCCAAGGCUAAAUAUUAACCAAGACCGAUAGCAUACUAGUACCGUGAGGGAAAGUUGAAAAGUACCCCGGAAGGGGGAUGAAAAGUGUCUGAAACCAACCGGUUACAGACGUGUACGGCCUGAAAGGAAUAUGGUGGAGGUCCCGCAAGGGACUGAAGCCUUCCAGGGUCGUAUGUUCCGUCUAGAAACACGGACCAGGGAGAUUGCUGUCAUGGCGAGCCUAACCUGACAAAGGGAAGGCGAAGGGAAACCGAAUUCGCGCAGCUUUGGCGAGGCGAAGGAUCCGAAAGGGUCUUCAGUCAUGGCAGUAAGGCUAGAAACCGGACGAUCUAGUCCUGGAUAAGACGAAGGCGGGCGAAAGCCCGCUGGAGGUCUGCAGGGGUCCUGACGUGCAAAUCGGUCCUCAAAUCUGGGAUUAGGGGUCAAAAACCAAUCUAGUCCGGUGAUCGCUAGUUCCCACCGAAGUAGAUCGCAGUCUUGCCUCAGCAGAGAUUGCUUGUAUUGUAGAGCACCGAUCGGACGGUAAGGGCCCGAAAGGGCUCACCGUUCAUUCGAACUCCGAAUGUACAGGCUUCUUAGAAGCUGGGAGGCGGGUUUAUGUGGGGUAAGCCUCAUAACCGAGAGGGGGACAACCCAGACUAAAGUUAAGGUCCCCAAGUGUCUGCUAAGUGUCAAACAAAAAGGUGUUUUCGAGCAGAGACAGCAGGGAGGUAGGCUCAGAAGCAGCCAUCCUUCAAAGAGUGCGUAACAGCUCACCUGCCGAGCUCGGAAGCCCUGAAAAUGGACGGGGCUCAAGCAGACCACCGAUACUUUAGACCACCGGCAAGGCCGGUGCGUGGUAGGUGGGCGUAGUGAUUGGGUAGAAGCUGGGCUGUAAAGUCCAGUGGACCGAUCUAACUAUUGCAGAUCCUGGUGGUAGUAACAGCAUAGCCGGGUGAGAAUCUCGGCGACCGCAAGGGCAAGGGUUUCCCGGCAAUGCGUCGUCAGCCGGGAGUUAGCCGGUCCUAAGAACAGCCUCAACAGAGCUGUCCGAAUGGGAAACUUGUUAAUAUUCAAGUGCCUUGAAUGGGUCGUUCUUACCUGCCUUGUCGCUUCAGGAUAGGGUAAGCAGAACCGUCGUUCUGUCUAAGUUUUCGAGCAUGGGGGAGUGCUGUAAUGGCGAGAUCCUAUGCGAGAGACGAAUGGCCCGCCGCAAGGUGGGUUUGCUCAAUUCCAGGAGACAUUGAAAGCAAGGUUAGGGAGAUCCAUUUAAGACCGUACCGAGAACCGACACUGGUGCCCUAGCUUAGUAGGCUAAGGUCUAUCGGGCAUACCGUAAGGCGAGGGAACUCGGCAAAAUAGCUCCGUACCUAUGGUAUAAGGAGUGCCUGCAGCUUUUGCGAGGAGCAGGAGUUGCAGGUCGCAGUGACAAGGGGGUCCCGACUGUUUAAUAAAAACACAGGUGGUCGCUAGUCCGAAAGGAUGAGUAUGGCCUCUGUAUCCUGGCCAGUGGCGGUACCUAAAACCUGGGUUCAACCGGG